rnacentral:sRNA from 1 species
GCGUAACGCACUUCUUGGGCGUUUCCUCCCUAGACUGAAGGCCGCGGGUUCGCCCGCGGCCCUUUUUUUGCGCCAG